CACGGCGACGUGGAAUCUGAUGGAAGCCGGAGGCAAAGUCUCGGCCCGAGGAACACGAACCGCAUAUGAGGGUGACUUGGGGUGGACGAGUUUGCUGAAUAAAACGAAGUCUAACACUGCCCGAACCCCAUACAGUAAAUGCGGUGAGUAUAUGGGAUGAAGGCUG
rnacentral:ncRNA from 1 species